AAAAAAACCCAUAAGGCGCCACAUCACAUAAGGCGGAGCACUGCCUUACCAUCUCUAGACCGCAUCAGCGCCAAGGCGCUGCUAAAGCAUCGCCUUACCAGCACCUUAAAAACUAUGAGUAGAACAGCAGCACAUCAAACCGUGAAGUAGUAGAGCUUCACACAUAGGGCAGCAGCAAAAAACAAGUCACAUAUAGGGGCGGCAGCCAUUAAAAUUCUGCAGAAUUUGUAUAUCGGCUUCAGCGAGUCCAGAGAACUAGAGCUGAAUCCAUGUAGCAGUGGUAGAACGACCUGAUUGUGUUUAUCACAUAAUAAUCAGGUCAUGAAAUUAAGAUAUGGGCAGCAAUAGGUGGCUGCGCACCAAAGAGAAGUCGUGCAUGGUUGUGAUCAGCAAAGAAUGAUGAUUCAGUCCCUGAUUUGAUUACAGAAGCUUUGAUACCAUGUUACAAUCCCAGAUUCCUGCAAUCAAAUCAGCAAAAACAGCAAAGAGAACUAGAAGAGAGGAGAAGAAGAAGAAAAGAAGACAAGUCUGAAAUCUCCAGAAAAACAGAGCAGCCCGUGAUCAGUCCAAUAUAUGACUGAUCGCAGGCAUCAUUAGCAUAUAUAGGUUUAAAACAAGGAGUUCAAGGUCUAAAACACCCCCCAUUACAAGUAAUAAACCCUAAACAGCAAAUAGGGACCCGAUAGGACCAAACUGACCCUAUUGGGUCCAGUGGCUGAUGCUAAUUCCAAUAUCGGGAUUAGCUCUCGGCCUCAACAGCCUUAAUGGGUGAACCUAGACCAAUCCAAUUCAACUUGUAUGCUGUCUCAAACAAACUCCCAGGGGUUAGAAAAUAAUGGCCAACCCAGAUAUUAUGAAAGUUGGGACAGAAUUUGCCAUCUCUGCACUUUAAUUUAUGUUUAUUUUUUUUGUUAUUGCCUUUAUGACUUUCUCAAGGAAUGGUCCUAUACAGGUAAGAGACUGUAACUGAGUUUCUAACAGCAUGGUUAUUUUGCAGAAUUGAAAUUGCUCAACUGCAGAGUAAGUUGAUUUGGAGAAGGUUGCAGUGAUGAAUGUGGUCCCAGUAAGAAGCAGCAGAUGGAAAAUUCUCUGAACUUUCCUUGACUCGAAGAAAUGCAUGUAGAAGAAUUUGUUUUACAAGGCUACUGCAAUAGUGGCGGUAAGGAGAUGAGCAAUAUUGAAAUAUCAGUGAAUGCUAUGGUUGGUAUUUCUGUUGCAACUCAAUGCCAAACCCCACAACCUGGCAAGAGGCCAAAAAGGUGUGAGAAAAAUAGCACAGAAAGAAGCAGACAGAGAGAGAAGAAUAUGGGAAGAUUAACAUUUAGAGCAAUGAAAUCAGCAAAAAUAAGAAAUUGGAGAGCUUGAGCCCCUUGGAUUCACAGUUAACAAAAUCAAGCCGUAUGGACUAUGGACAUUGUGCCUGCCAAGCUGUUGAAGAUCAACUGGACACUGUUUAAAGAGGUUUACUCCUGACAAUUUUUUGGGGCUUUGACAAAUGGUGAUUUCUUAUUUGGGGAACAGGCAUCUGAUUUUCCGCUAUUCUUUUACACAUAAAAAAAAUAGAAGAGGGUUUUGGUGCGUCACAACUUACACUUAGAGAGGUUGAGAAAUACUGCAGCGAAGUUGAAUCAAUGGCGUGGGUGGCACUAGAACUUGGUCGGACACAUUGCGUGCAAAGAUAUCUUGAUACUUCUAAGGAUCCUCCAUCAUGUUGAGAUGAGGUAGGAGUACAAGUCUGACUUUGAACAGUUCCUCUAAUUCCAAUAUUGUGCUUUUGUUUCGUAGGCAUGCAUUUCGGCCUGGUCAGCGCUACAGUUAUGUCAUCUCAAAUGUGAUCAGAGCUUUUUCAGAACCGACUGAUUAUGAAAUUUGGGAGGGAGAAGGGUGCCAAUGUCUUGAAGAAAGUGAAAAAAAUUCAUUUGCCCCCAGGUUGCUGCCCCUUCAAUAGGUAUCCGAUUGGCCCGUUGUAAACUCCUUAUAGAUUAUGAAGGAGAGCCACAGACACAACCCAAGACACAAACCUAGCGUGGACCUGGACGUCAAAGGCUCGAGAGCUGUUGGAUCUUCUCUCUAUGGCUCCAUUUGGUUGCAAGGGAAGUGGGAAAUGGAAGUCAAGGGAAUUCCACCCCCCCCCAUCCUUCUGAGAAUAUUCUUUAAUUUUUUUCCCAUCUUUUUCUUUUACAUUCUCUUCUUGCCAAACAAACAUGGCCUAAGUGUUUGUGGUUCAUUAACAUGGUUUCCAUCUCUGGGCUGCUACAGUUAUUUCUAGUUGACCCACCAUGGGUGGAUCCUACUUAAUCAUCAGGUCUUCCAAUAAUUCAUGAUUGCACUUCAGGGAUCUAAAUGUAUCAUAGGCCAGGAAUGACACAAUGGACAAGAACUUGAACUCAAUCUGUAGUGCUACACUGCUUAUUGUAUUCCAUUGUAAUGGAGAACUUGCAGUAAUUAUUGUGAUACAAAGUAGCAUUUGAGUGUGA